CGCCCUUGAGUUUGAUCAUGGCUCAGAUUGAACGCUGGCGGCAUGCCUUACACAUGCAAGUCGAGCGGCAGCGCGGGGGCAACCCUGGCGGCGAGCGGCGAACGGGUGAGUAAUACAUCGGAACGUGUCCAGUAGUGGGGGAUAACCAGUCGAAAGAUUGGCUAAUACCGCAUACGAUCUACGGAUGAAAGCGGGGGACCGCAAGGCCUCGCGCUAUUGGAGCGGCCGUUGUCCGAUUAGCUAGUUGGCGGGGUAAUGGCCCACCAAGGCGACGAUCGGUAGCUGGUCUGAGAGGAUGAUCAGCCACACUGGAACUGAGACACGGUCCAGACUCCUACGGGAGGCAGCAGUGGGGAAUUUUGGACAAUGGGCGCAAGCCUGAUCCAGCCAUGUUUUUUUAGUGAAGAAGGCCUUCGGGUUGUAAAGCUCUUUCGGCGGGGACGAAACGGUUCGUGCUAACACCACGGAUCAAUGACGGUACUCGCAGAAGAAGCACCGGCUAACUACGUGCCAGCAGCCGCGGUAC
rnacentral:rRNA from 1 species